rnacentral:tRNA from 1 species
GCGGNUNUGGCGGAAUUGGCAGACGCGCCAGAUUUAGGUUCUGGUGGGNGACCGUGCAGGUUCAAGUCCUGUCACCCGCA